rnacentral:rRNA from 1 species
AACCAGCCAUGCCGCGUGCAGGAAGACGGCUCUAUGAGUUGUAAACUGCUUUUAUACAGGGAUAAUUGUGAGUACGUGUACUCACUUGCAGGUACUGUAAGAAUAAGGAUCGGCUAACUCCGUGCCAGCAGCCGCGGUAAUACGGAGGAUCCAAGCGUUAUCCGGAUUUAUUGGGUUUAAAGGGUGCGUAGGCGGCACAGUAAGUUAGCGGUGAAAUCCGGGGGCUUAACCCUCGAAUUGCCGUUAAAACUGCUGAGCUAGAGAUUAGAUGCGGUAGGCGGAAUGUGUAGUGUAGCGGUGAAAUGCUUAGAGAUUACACAGAACACCGAUUGCGAAGGCAGCUUACCAAUCUAUGUCUGACGUUGAGGCACGAAAGCGUGGGUAGCAAACAGGAUUAGAUACCCUGGUAGUCCACGCAGUAAACGAUGAUAGCUCGUUGUCGGCGAUACACAGUCGGUGACUUAGCGAAAGCGUUAAGCUAUCCACCUGGGGAGUACGUUCGCAAGAAUGAAACUCAAAGGAAUUGACGGGGGCCCGCACAAGCGGAGGAACAUGUGGUUUAAUUCGAUGAUACGCGAGGAACCUUACCCGGGCUUGAAAGUUAUUGACGAAUCUGGAAACAGAUUUUCCCUUCGGGGCAAGAAACUAGGUGCUGCAUGGUUGUCGUCAGCUCGUGCCGUGAGGUGUCGGAUUAAGUUCCAUAACGAGCGCAACCCUUGCCGUUAGUUGCCAUCAGGUCAUGCUGGGCACUCUAGCGGGACUGCCGGUGUAAACCGCGAGGAAGGUGGGGAUGACGUCAAAUCAGCACGGCCCUUACGUCCGGGGCGACACACGUGUUACAAUGGUCGGUACAGAGGGCAGCUACCCAGCGAUGGGAUGCGAAUCUCGAAAGCCGAUCUCAGUUCGGAUCGGAGGCUGAAACUCGCCUCCGUGAAGUUGGAUUCGCUAGUAAUCGCGCAUCA